rnacentral:misc_RNA from 1 species
GAUGAAGAACGCAGCGAAAUGCGAUAAGUAAUGUGAAUUGCAGAAUUCAGUGAAUCAUCGAAUCUUUGAACGCACAUUGCGCCCGCCAGUAUUCUGGCGGGCAUGCCUGUUCGAGCGUCAUUACAACCCUCAGGCCCCCGGGCCUGGCGUUGGGGAUCGGCGGAAGCCCCCUGCGGGCACAACGCCGUCCCCCAAAUACAGUGGCGGUCCCGCCGCAGCUUCCAUUGCGUAGUAGCUAACACCUCGCAACUGGAGAGCGGCGCGGCCACGCCGUAAAACACCCAACUUCUGAAUGUUGACCUCGAAUCAGGUAGGAAUACCCGCUGAACUUAAGCAUAUCAAUAAGCGGAGUA